AAAUAGAUACCCCGGUAGUCCACGCCCUAAACGAUGCGAACUGGAUGUUGGGUUCAACUUGGAACCCAGUAUCGAAGCUAACGCGUUAAGUUCGCCGCCUGGGGAGUACGGUCGCAAGACUGAAACUCAAAGGAAUUGACGGGGGCCCGCACAAGCGGUGGAGUAUGUGGUUUAAUUCGAUGCAACGCGAAGAACCUUACCUGGUCUUGACAUCCACGGAACUUUCCAGAGAUGGAUUGGUGCCUUCGGGAACCGUGAGACAGGUGCUGCAUGGCUGUCGUCAGCUCGUGUCGUGAGAUGUUGGGUUAAGUCCCGCAACGAGCGCAACCCUUGUCCUUAGUUGCCAGCACGUAAUGGUGGGAACUCUAAGGAGACCGCCGGUGACAAACCGGAGGAAGGUGGGAUGACGUCAAGUCAUCAUGGCCCUUACGACCAGGGCUACACACGUACUACAAUGGUGGGGACAGAGGGCCGCAAUCCCGGCGAGGGUGAGCCAAUCCCAGGAAACCCCAUCUCAGUCCGGAUCGGAGUCUGCAACUCGACUCCGUG
rnacentral:rRNA from 1 species